GCCAGGAUGGUGUAGUGGUUUGAGCAUUGGACUAUCACUUUGGAGACCAGGGUUUGAAUCCCUGCUCAGCCA